rnacentral:rRNA from 1 species
CAUACGACCGUACCGCAAACCGACACUGGUGCGCGAGAUGAGUAUUCUAAGGCGCUUAGAACUCAGGAGAAGGAACUCGGCAAAUUGACACCGUAACUUCGGAAGAAGGUGUGCCCUAUUAGUGUGUAGUGAACAACGAAGCAUGAAUGGGUUGCAAAAAAUCGGUGGCUGCGACUGUUUAUUAAAAACACAGCACUCUGCAAACACGAAAGUGGACGUAUAGGGUGUGACGCCUGCCCGGUGCUGGAAGAUUAAAUGAUGGGGUGCAAGCUCUUGAUUGAAGUCCCAGUAAACGGCGGCCGUAACUAUAACGGUCCUAAGGUAGCGAAAUUCCUUGUCGGGUAAGUUCCGACCUGCACGAAUGGCGUAACGAUGGCCACACUGUCUCCUCCUGAGACUCAGCGAAGUUGAAAUGUUUGUGAUGAUGCAAUCUCCCCGCGGAAAGACGGAAAGACCCCAUGAACCUUUACUGUAGCUUUGUAUUGGACUUUGAACAGAUCUGUGUAGGAUAGGUGGGAGGCUUUGAAGCAGGGUCGCUAGAUCUUGUGGAGCCAACGUUGAAAUACCACCCUGGUGUGUUUGAGGUUCUAACCUAGGUCCAUUAUCUGGAUCGGGGACAGUGCAUGGUAGGCAGUUUGACUGGGGCGGUCUCCUCCCAAAGCGUAACGGAGGAGUUCGAAGGUACGCUAGUUACGGUCGGACAUCGUGACGAUAGUGCAAUGGCAUAAGCGUGCUUAACUGCGAGACUGACAAGUCGAGCAGAUGCGAAAGCAGGACAUAGUGAUCCGGUGGUUCUGUAUGGAAGGGCCAUCGCUCAUCGGAUAAAAGGUACUCUGGGGAUAACAGGCUGGUACCGCCCAAGAGUUCAUAUCGACGGCGGUGUUUGGCACCUCGAUGUCGGCUCAUCUCAUCCUGGGGCUGUAGCCGGUCCCAAGGGUAUGGCUGUUCGCCAUUUAAAGAGGUACGUGAGCUGGGUUUAAAACGUCGUGAGACAGUUUGGUCCCUAUCUUCCGUGGGCGCUGCAGAUUUGAGGAAGCCUGCUCCUAGUACGAGAGGACCGGAGUGGACACACCUCUGGUGUAUCGGUUGUCACGCCAGUGGCAUUGCCGAGUAGCUAAGUGUGGAAGAGAUAACCGCUGAAAGCAUCUAAGCGGGAAACUCGUUUCAAGAUGAGAUCUGCCGGGGCCUUGAGCCCCCUAAAGAGUCGUUCAAGACCAGGACGUUGAUAGGUCAGGUGUGGAAGCCAAAAA